GCCCGGGUGGCGGAAUUGGAAGACGCGUAUGACUCAAAAUCAUAUGGGUGAAAACCUGUGUGGGUUCGAGUCCCACCCCGGGCA
rnacentral:tRNA from 1 species